GGGGAUGUAGUUCAGUGGUAGAGCACUUGUCUAGCAUGCAUGAGGCCCUGGGUUCAAUCACCAGCACUAUUA
rnacentral:tRNA from 1 species